UACCUGCAGCUCGAGUGGUAACCGCUAUUAUUGGGCCUAAAGCGUCCGUAGCCGGUUUGGUAAAUAUCUGGGUAAAUCGUGAGGCUUAACUUCACGAAUUUCGGAUAGACUGCCAGACUUGGGAUCGGGGGAGGUCAGAGGUACUCCAGGGGUAGCGGUGAAAUGUUGUAAUCCUUGGAGGACCACCGGUAGCGAAGGCGUCUGACUAGAACGAGUCCGACGGUGAGGGACGAAGCCCUGAGGCGCAAACCGGAUUAGAUACCCGGGUAGUCCAGGGUGUAAACGAUGUGGGCUUUGUAUUGGAGGUCCCACGUGGGCGUCCAGUGCAGAAGAGAAGUUGUUAAGCCCACCGCCUGGGAAGUACGGUCGCAAGGCUGAAACUUAAAGGAAUUGGCGGGGAGCACAGCAACGGGAGGAGCGUGCGGUUU
rnacentral:rRNA from 1 species